rnacentral:rRNA from 1 species
UACACUCCUGCGGGAGGCAGCAGUGGGGAAUUUUGGACAAUGGGCGAAAGCCUGAUCCAGCAAUGCCGCGUGAGUGAAGAAGGCCUUCGGGUUGUAAAGCUCUUUUGUCAGGGAAGAAACGGUGAGAGCUAAUAUCUCUUGCUAAUGACGGUACCUGAAGAAUAAGCACCGGCUAACUACGUGCCAGCAGCCGCGGUAAUACGUAGGGUGCAAGCGUUAAUCGGAAUUACUGGGCGUAAAGCGUGCGCAGGCGGUUUUGUAAGUCUGAUGUGAAAUCCCCGGGCUCAACCUGGGAAUUGCAUUGGAGACUGCAAGGCUAGAAUCUGGCAGAGGGGGGUAGAAUUCCACGUGUAGCAGUGAAAUGCGUAGAUAUGUGGAGGAACACCGAUGGCGAAGGCAGCCCCCUGGGUCAAGAUUGACGCUCAUGCACGAAAGCGUGGGGAGCAAACAGGAUUAGAAACCCCGGUAGUCCCAUGAU